AGAUAAGUAUUGGAGUUUAUUUCUUACUUCUCAAUAUGAGAUACCAACAUAUUGGUAGAGUAAGCAGUUCCAGAUAGGAUAAAUUACACCUCAAACUCAUGAUUUUAAUAGAAAUUUAAUAAAAACGUCAUACUUAGCCUCAAUUUUUCAAUACCAUUGAAUCAUGGUAUGAUAGUUCAAAUAAGGCUCAUUCUAACACCAAGUACACAAAUGUGAC
rnacentral:lncRNA from 1 species